rnacentral:rRNA from 1 species
UACGUAGGCAGCGAGCGUUGUUCGGAGUUACUGGGCGUAAAGAGUGCGUAGGCGGUUUUCUAAGUUUGGUGUGAAAUCUCCCGGCUCAACUGGGAGGGUGCGCCGAAGACUGGAAGGCUUGAGUAUGGGAGAGGUGAGUGGAACUGCGAGUGUAGAGGUGAAAUUCGUAGAUAUUCGCAAGAACACCAGUGGCGAAGGCGGCUCACUGGCCCAUUACUGACGCUGAGGCACGAAAGCGUGGGGAGCAAACAGG